rnacentral:rRNA from 1 species
UGGGGAAUAUUGCGCAAUGGGGGAAACCCUGACGCAGCGACGCCGUGUGAGGGAAGAGGGCCUUCGGGUCGUAAACCUCUGUCGGGAGGGAAGAACCGCCGGUUUCCGACCAGGGAGCCGGUUUGACGGUACCUCCGAAGGAAGCGCCGGCUAACUCCGUGCCAGCAGCCGCGGUAAUACGGAGGGCGCGAGCGUUAAUCGGAAUCACUGGGCGUAAAGCGCGCGUAGGCGGCUCGAUAAGUCGGGCGUGAAAGCCCUCGGCCCAACCGAGGAACUGCGUUCGAUACUGUUAGGCUUGAGUCCUGGAGAGGGUGGCGGAAUUCCGGGUGUAGGAGUGAAAUCCGUAGAUAUCCGGAGGAACACCGGUGGCGAAGGCGGCCACCUGGACAGGUACUGACGCUGAGGUGCGAAAGCGUGGGGAGCAAACAG